rnacentral:rRNA from 1 species
CCUACGGGUGGCAGCAGUGGGGAAUAUUGGUCAAUGGUCGCAAGCCUGACCCAGCAACGCCGCGUGAAGGAAGAAGGCUUUCGGGUUGUAAACUUCUUUUGACAGGGAAGAGUAGAAGACGGUACCUGUCGAAUAAGCCCCGGCUAACUACGAGCCAGCAGCCGCGGUAAUACGUCGGUGGCCAGCGUUGUCCGGAUUUACUGCGUGGAAAGGGCGUGUAGCCGGGUUGACAAGUCAGAUGUGAAAUCCUGGGGCUUAACCGCAGAACUGCAUUUGAAACUGUUGAUCGUGAGUACUGGAGAGGCAGACGGAAUUCCUAGUGUAGCGGUGAAAUGCGUAGAUAUUAGGCGGAACACCAGUGGCGAAGGCGGUCUGCUGGACAGCAACUGACGGUGAGGCGCGAAAGCGUGGGGAGCAAACAGGAUUAGAUACCCUUGUAGUC